CAUUUCUCUCCCUGGAAGACUUUGAGUCAUGCACGCGCAAGGAAAAUUAGAGACAGGGUUUCACCAUGUUGGUCUCAAACUCCUGACCUCAAGUGAUCCACCUGCCUCAGCCUCCCAAAGUGCUGGGAUUACAGACGUGAGCCACUGCCACACAGCCGAAUAAAGGACAAGAGUAGCAAAGAGGAUUAUGAGCAGUGCAAUACAAAACAAGGCUGCAACAAAAGGGCCACAGAAACCUGGAAUCAUUUUGGAAAUCAGUAUACCAUCUUGAAACCAAAAAUGUCUCCAUAAAUAUGAAGGCAAUAGCAAUGCCGUCACUGAGUCUGCCAUGAAGUCAGAAUGCCAAAUGAAGACUAUAAAACUUGGAUUUGCUUGCAGAGUUUCCACUGAAAUUCGAAUUCUU
rnacentral:lncRNA from 1 species